UGUUCAAGGUUUUAGUGAAAGCUAGCAUUGAUUGAUUAACUUCAAUUACCAUGCUUACAUUUGCAUAGAUAAAAACUGCUUUUCAAUUUGUGAGUGGCACGCUGGUGGAAACCCUGCGCUGAUAUUUGCAUUUCAAUGUGGAUAGUGAAGAAUAAAGGUGGAAGAGAGGUCUGAUCAGUGCUAAGCCCUUUCUGCUUCAGUGCUUAAGCAUUUUUCCAUAAACACUCUUGUUAUGAUGUUAGUUUGCUCAAACCACUCCGAGGGAAACGCCGGAGCCUCCUGUUUACAAGCGUGUGUGACAAUUUAACAGUGCGGGGUGGGGAAGGCUGAAAUCAAAGCUUCCAACAGAGCAAAGGUAUCGCAGCAAGUAAAUAACUCGGGGAAGUUCUUCCUCCACUGCAGCAACCAGCUCUGAAUUCCUGUAAAGCCGUGACAGCAGCCGCCUUGGAGACUCACUGAGGCUCCUCACUUACUUCUUCAGUCUCUGCCAGGUUUUUAUGCAAGAAGCUGGUCGUAAGGUGAGGAAAGCAAGUAAAACGCUUGCUUUCUGGGGAUCUGAUGAUCUCCCGUUCCCUGGAGGAUUUUACUCUGAGAGUUCAUGCUUAUCGCUUAGUAAACUGAGUGCUGAGCAAUACUGUGCAUCACAAAACCAGAUAAAAUCGGCAUUGACGUCAGUUACGUGGCUGGGUACCUCUGCCUGGUGCCGCCGGUGUUCCCUCCCGCCCGUCGGCCAGAAGCGAGGGGUGGCGGGGUGCCUGUUUCUUUGUGCCAGCCCCUGAGGGGUGAAACGUCCUCAAGUGCUCGUCCAGUUCCGAACAACCUACAGCGUUACCCAGAUUUGCCUCUGGAGCGUGGUAAAGCCUAGCGCCAAGGGAACGGGUGAUGCUUCAAGAUCAAAAGUAGCGAAUUGUACGUAAAUAACCGAGCGACUGCUGGCCUGAGAGCGGGGACAAGGAAACGGUUCUUUUCCUGGUUUCCUGUUUCAGGCAGGACCUCAGUUUUGUGCAAAUCUGCAGAAUCAACUUGAAAAGUAAUUGGAGAAGGAAAAAUGCGGCUUCAAACUCUUUACUAGCUGAAUACGCAGGGUAAAUUAAACGGGGCUGAGACGUUUUCAUCUCGGUUUAUUUUAGAGCAUUUGAGAAAUCUUCAUCCAAGUUCAUCCACCCCAAGUGUUAGUUACUAGCUGCGGUCACCAGCCUGUUUCCCUUGUUCUCCUCUUUCUUAUAGGUAAGAUUCUUUAAAUUUCCUAAACUGUAUGAAGCAGAGCAAGAUACCCACUUUUAAAAUGCUGUCUAAGCAAAAAGACGUUUUGACCCUUCCUCUGGGUUGCUGGGAUGCAGCCUGGUGCGGGGGUCUGCGUCAGCCUGGCUGCCCCCGCCGCAGCGGGGAGCAAGGUGAGUGUGGCCACGCUGCCUGCUGUGGCUUUGUUAGGAACCGAGUGACUGUAAGGCUGAGUCCAGCGCCAUCCCCGUGUUCCGGGUGCUGCCCUUCUUUUCUGCUCGGGGACCCAGGUGGAAGAGGUAAGAGAAGCACAGCGUCGUCCCUACGCAGAGUUAAAGGCGCAAGGCAUUAAGUGCCUGUAGUGGUGGCUCAUGUCAGCGGCUGCCUGGAGACUUCAGAUUUAUUUUUAUUUUUUUUAAAUUGCUUAUAUUUGAGUGCAACACCGAGCAAAUCAAAGGGAACGCCCUAAAUCAGUUCCUUUUUCCUUCUUAUUUAAAAAAACCACCAAAAACCCCAAACCCUAAGCUGCCCUUCUGCUGAAAGCUCGUCUGGGAAUUGUUAGGGGCGAGUUCCUUGUGUUAAAGAUGGCAUUUUCCAACCACGGGAUUACUUGAAAGAGCGAAGAGGCCCAUACGAAGACCUGGCGAAAAUACCUUAGUGGCUGCUGAGGGUGAAUGUUGUGGUUCCUCCUGCAGCCUGGGGGAUGGAGCUCAGGCUCCGCACUCUGUAGCGAUACCACACGUCUAAACAGCCUUGGCCCAGGCAUGUGGCUGGGCAGGAACAUAAUAAAAUGAGAGUUUGCAAGUUGUAGUUCUCCAAGAUACUGUAUUAACCAGCUUUUUGAUGAAGAAAAUACGUAGGCAAGUGGAAACCAGAUUGCAGGUCAUGUUCUACAUUUGAAAUUCUACCAAGUAAAACUUCUGGCAGGCUCGGAAAUACAGAUAUUCCUAAAAAAACGCCAUUAGAGAAAUCGGUGAGCCAGAAGGGAUGCUGAGGCACUGCCAGGACAAUGCCGUGCUCAACCAGCAGAGCACUGCGAGGGAGGUGGGGUUUUUUUGUUUCUUUUUUUUUUUUUUACUAGGUAUCUGUUGUUUGGAAAUGGCAUUUUGAGCCUGUGUUUUUGCUCAGAAGUGUGCCUGAGUAAGAAGGGAGGUGGUCUCUGUUCUGUGGAGAGCUGUGCUCGUCACUUGGUCUUCAUACGUGCUCUGUCCCCAGAAGGGUGGCUUCAGCAGCCCUGGACGUGGCAGCACAGCCCGCGUAAGCUGUGGGGUGUGAUUGCGCUUGGCUGUGUGCAGGGAGGUCGGGGGGCUUCGGUCAGGCGGUGGGGGACGCUGUGUUCUGCCCUUGUUAUUUAAGCGUGCUUAUUUUGGGGUGAGGAGAAGCCCUCGAGUAGGUCACAUAACAUAUUUCCCGCCUACAGUUUUGUCAUCCCUCGAUUUCUUGGUAUGUUCUUCAAGGGAAGCGUUUUGGUCUUGGGAGCACUGCUUGCUGUUCCCGGGGCAAAGGCCAGCUGUGGUGGGGAUCAAUCCCUUGAACCCCAGCCAGGGGAGCUGCUCCAGCCAGCCGUAAGCAUGCUGGACAAAGUAACUCGAGCAAAAUCUUGGCGCUCCGCUGGUUGUCUCAGCUCUGCUGUGACUGAAGCCUCGGCUGUUAGCAGAGCCAUGCGAUGGAGCCUUCCCUCCCCUGCCCUGCCCUGCGAGACCUUCAGCCAAGGGAUCCUUUGAGCUGGGGAGGGAGGAGCCUGGCUCUUGUGAGAUCUCAGCUAAGCCUUAGUUCAAAAGGCUCAAGUGUUCUCAGGAACGAUGGUUGGCGCUAAACCGUGCUGCGGCCCCACAGCUCCUGGCAGAGCACCGCGCAGGGGGGUGACCCUGCCGCGCCGGCCUCCGAGACACGCGGGAACCACGCGGAGGCCGCCUGCGUGUCGAGGCACGGGCUUCAGGGCACGCCGGGCCAGGAGGGAUGACUCGUGCCGCGGUGCUCUCCCCAUCCCCACGGCUCUGUGCAAAGCAACAGCUCGGUAGAGAACUUAAACUCUUGCCCUUCUCUUGAUCCCCCUUCCUAGGAAGCGCUCCUUCCCCCUGCUGGGAAGUGGUGUUAAACAAAGCUGGCCUGUCUUGAAUGUUAAGCAAAAUGUAAUAGUCGUAUCUUGCGGGUAUAUUCUUAGUAUGAAUUAAUCCGCUGGGGUUCUGUAAUAGUAUUCUAACACAGAUUAAAAUGGGAAGAUACCUACAGACACCCAACAAAACUGUCCUCGGGGACUCUGCGAGACAUGAUUUUUCCAUGAAGUUCCGCUCACCCUUUCAGAAAGGCAUGGAUUUGUUAAGCGGAGCACAAGGUUACAUCAUUAAAGAAUCGACGUAUAAGAUGUUUGAUCUGCCAACUUUUCUUCAAAUAACGGGACUGCGGUUUGGGCUUAAAUGUGCAAAGUAAACUAGCAGUGCUGUGCGCCAGCUCCGGUCUGCGAGCGCGGGCUCGUCCCCCUGUGUCCAGGGAAGGUCUGCCGCAUGCGCGGGGUUUCUGGUGGUCUCUUUAGAUCCUCCUCCUCGGAUGCUGAAUUCACGCCGAUAAGGCGGUGAGGCCACGUGCAUGUGUGUUCCCAGCUGGACCCCGCCGUCCUUCCCGUGCCAGGCCAGCGGUGGAGCCGGGUCCGAGGGCCAGCUGCAAGGCAGGUGUUUGCAUGCAUCUUGUAUUUCUCUGUUCUUCAGCUGGGCUUCCUGCGAAUGCAGGGCACGUGAGGGGUCUUGCCCGUCCUGGCACCGCCGUCACAGCGCCCUGCCUGUUCCUGCAACCUUCCGCAGGCAGUGGAACGAGCAGAUGACUUCAACAAGAAAGAUCCCAGUUAAAAUACAACACGUCUUGGUUUCACAGAGGAUGAAUUUUCCAGACUUCGCAGGUUUCGUUUUUUUUUAAAAACGCUCCAUGAACUUGCCUUCACGACAGAAGCCGGGGGCUGACGCGUGCCAGCACUGGAAACGGGAGCGUUUGGAAGCGUCAUUAUUGGUGGCACCCUGGAACGCGCCGCAGAAGAUGCAGAUUCCUUCGCUUCAGAGCAUCUCUCCGAGAAGGCUUUACGAGGGAAUUUUUUUGUAGCGUGAACACAUCUACGUUUUCUGCCUUACCUACAAGUAUUUUCAGUGUUGGGAACAAGAUCUGAGGACUAUUUUGUAAGCAGCCGCCUGUAAACUCAGGCACUUACCUGUGCAAUUUUGGUUUGGCAUGUUACAUUUUUUAAGGUCCUAAGCGAUGUUUUCAUCUUUAUCAGCUUGCUUCAAAAGGCAGGGUGACUGUCCCCAUUUGAAACCAGACACACUGCUGCUGUUUAAGACCCAAGUGAAGCCAAAGCACUGUUGGGAUCCUCUGUGGACCAGCAAAUAACUUCUACCGUGAACAAAAUGGAUCAUUUAAAAACUCAGGCCUGACUGUUUGCAUGCGCGGCUGCGUUAAUUCAGCGGUGGUGGUGAAUGCUGUUCCCUGGAGUGCGAGACUCGGUACAGAUGGCAGAUGUACGCUUACAUGCUGAUUUUUGCUUGUCUCUCAGAAUAUUUUUUUUUUAAAUUACACAAAGCAAGUAGACAGACAAAACUCUUGCAUAUUUGAUAUUAAGAUGACUUAACAAUAGGAAGUCGUCAGUUUGUUUUCUAGAUCGUAAUGCAACGGUUGCCAUAAGAACACAAAUUAUGUGUACAUUUUAAUGCAUCUAUGCUUCAUAAUUAUGCAUGGUUGUGUGCUGUUAUAAUUGACAUAAAAUAUAAAACAGGUCAAAGAGCAGCUAUUAAAACUAUUUUUCAUUUUGCUUCCUGACAGCUAGCGACAUCAAUGCCUACUGCAUUUAAUAGGACCAUACGGGGAAUGCAAAGAUAGUUAUAUAAUUUCAACCGUAUUAAAGCCUCCAGAACUUGCAACCUAAUUAUUUCCUACAGUGUCUCGUUGUAAACUGUAUUACUUUAUUUGGAAUGUGUUCGUUUUCAGCUUAAACAAUUGGGCUACAUUAAAUUAGCAUGAAGGGGAAAAUCAUAAAACUUUUGGAUGUAUUUCAUAGAGGUCAUUCUGUUAGGUUAAGAAUUAUCCCAGGAGCAAUGAUUUUCUGCCACUCAAGAUAAAAAAUAACGUUAGAAUUGCGCUAAUUCCAUGCAGUUAUUUUAAUCACCGAAGUAAAUUCUACCAAAGGGCUAAACUGUACUUGUACCCUCUCUCUAAUCAUAGAACGGCAGAAAGAAACGAAAAUUGAAGAAAAAAUGAUGAAUUUAUAAGAUGUCCCUCCUCUUGGUAAUGGCUGCGUGAAGACAAAGCAACAGGGCCCAACCUGCCUGGUUUUCGCUCAUUAUAGGUCAUCCUCUCGUGCCGUAAUGGUCGAGGGCUCCUGUUCUCUUGUGGGCGGUUAGAUUUCUUUUGGAAUCCGUGCCGUAUGUGCUCUGUAUUUUGUAAUAAAUCCUUUUAAAAUUAGGUUUGAGGGAGACAUCUGAUCUGGGCUGAGAAACACCCGCCGUCACGUCUGUGUGAGCACUGCCGGCUCCUGCCCGAGACCCCCCGCGAGCGCUGCCCCGCACGCCCGCGCAAGCCGGGACCAGAGACCGAGCGCGUCGGGUCUAGAUCCUUCCUGGGGACCUGCUGGAGCUGAUGGACCUGAAGCGAGUUAUGUGAGCUGAAAAUCCGCUAGAUAGGACCACACUUCAGCAAAUAAACCUCGGUGCAGAUGGUGGCGUUCUGGGCGCCGGCGCUUUGCGUUGCUGCACACCACGUCUCGGGUCACGCCUAAGUUGGGAAAACGGCGCCAGCAACUAAUAAAUAUUGGUGCUCCUGCGUCUCGUGUGCUAAGUCCACUUAGAGACUGGAUAUUUCAGGAGGCUGGAAAUAGGCUUUAGAGGGCCCUUUCAGUUCUAGUUGGCUGACUCAAGUCUAGUUCGUGGGUGGUGACUGAAAAUUAUUGCCCAAUUUGUGGUACAUGAGGAAUAAGCUCAAUCCAAUUUCCCAAGAUAGAGGCAACCCCGUCCCAGAAAGAACCAUCAUAAAUGGUGCUUGUUAGCGGCUUAACAGGGAGGGCGAGGUCUGAAGGGGAGUGAAGGCCAAGCUCAUCUGAUUGAGCAUCUUGGCUGUGGAGCAUGGAAAGGUCUUGUGGCUGCCCUUCUGUCUCUUUAACAGACUGAAGGUCUUCACUUCCCAGGCGAGAUCUGUUGCAUUGCACCGUUAGUGGUUUAAUUUGCAUUCAGGUUCUUGCUUCUGAUGACUUUCCUGUAGCAGUUUUCACAAGACAUUCCCCAUCUUACGCUUCUCCAGCUCCAUGCCUGCCCAGGAAAAUAAUGGUGAGUGAUAAAGCUGUAACGAUGCGGGCUUCCUUGGGUCUUCCGUGACCCUCCUGCGCCGGGAGGGUUGCACCAGCCUGGGUCUGACGUGGGAUCAGCUGCUGGCGGGGGGCAAGGCCAGAGCAGACGAGGGCUGGAGAGCUCUGGUGGAAGCACGGAAAGCCACCAGCUGCUCACAGUCCGGCACGUGAAGCCUCUGGUUGCUGCCGUCCCCACCGAGACGUGGAGGCAGCCUCUCUCGGGGCAGGAGGGGCAGCAGCAGCUCUCGAGGUGGCUGCCUAAUGCCCGCCGUCCCCCAAAAGCGUGGGAUUGCUUUCAUCUCUCUUGGGAGUUUGAGUUGUAACAAAUAACUAAAAGCCUUUCCAGGGCGCUGGGGACGUUGCAGCACUUCAAGGGAGUUUACCUUGUUGCCCCCAUCUCUGCCUGCUCACAAAGGGGUGCAUCUGGCAAGGGUGAGGGACGGGCUGUGCCUCUCACGUCCUGCCACUGACCCCAGCUGACCUCCGCGUGCAGAGGGGUCGUUUUCCACGUCUUCCUCACCAGGUUUAUGCAACGCGAUGCACUGCAAUGCCAUUGAUGCCUUGUGAAAUUGCACAUCAAAACAUCCAGGCCAGCUCUUUUGUUGGGAGGAUUUCUUACUAAUUAAUGAAAUCGCACCUUUUGCAUAAGACCGUAUUUGGAGGUGUUAUGCUCUCCCUAUGGGCUGUGUCAGUAGGUGAGAACACCUGAGCUGGCUGCGUGCAAGGUCUCUGCAUACCAAGUCUGUAGAUAAAUUUCUGCUUAAGGCCUUGGAGAGCGUAAGUGCCUGAUUUCAGGAAGGCUGGGCUCCCCUUGCGCUUUUGAAAUAGCAAGCACCGUUUAAUCACCUCACCAAAGUUUGCUCGUGUUCCUUUACCUUUGUGAAGGUUUGGGGAGCGUGGCAUUUCUGUGGUUUGAAAACUCCCAGUAAGGAAGAAUGCAGGGAAAAAAUAAAGAGCCCAGGACAUGAGGCAGCUGGUUGCAGAAAGAAGGAAGAACUCGUGGCCUUCAGGCCAGGCAGGUGGCCUUUCUGCUGGUCACGUACAGCCGCAUCAGCACGAACACGUGAAGUCCCCACCACCAGCGUCCUUGGUGAUGAAGACCCAGAAGGCUCAAGAAAAUAAAAACUGGCAGACUCCUGUUGUUCCUUGUUACCAUGACAUUAUGAAAAGUAAGUCCGUGUCUUUUUUCAAAAUUUUUUUACUUAAACACUUUUUUCUUGAAGUGUUGUGGUUGGUAUUGACUGCAGAAGCAUGCUACGGGAGGGAGAUGAUUUGUAAGUGACAGGAGGUCUCAAAGAGCACGCGAGAUGUGUGCCGAGAUGUUCAAUCCCCAUCUUUAAAACCUCUUCUGGGAGAAAGCUCUGUUCUUGGCACAGUGUCUAAUUUAACUAGAAAUAGCUAUGGGGUCUUC